CCUACGGGUGGCAGCAGUGAGGAAUAUUGGUCAAUGGACGUAAGUCUGAACCAGCCAUGCCGCGUGCGGGAAGACGGCUCUAUGAGUUGUAAACUGCUUUUGUACGAGGGUAAACCUGAAUACGUGUAUUCAGCUGAAAAUACUGUACGAAUAAAGAUCGGCUAACUCCGUGCCAGCAUCCGCCGUAAUACGGAGGAUCCAAGCGUUAUCCGGAUUUAUUGGGUUUAAAGGGUGCUGAGGCGGAUUGAUAAGUUCGGGGUUAAAUGUCCGAGCUUAACUCGGGAACUGCCUCUAAUACUGGUGAUCUAGAGAGUAGAGGAGGUAGGCGGAAUGCAUGGUGUAGCGGUGAAAUGCUUAGAGAUCAUACAGAACACCGAUUGCGAAGGCAGCUUACCAACCUAUAUCUGACGUUGAGGCACGAAAGCGUGGGGAGCAAACAGGAUUAGAUACCCCUGUAGUC
rnacentral:rRNA from 1 species